rnacentral:rRNA from 1 species
UACGUAGGGGGCAAGCGUUGUCCGGAUUUACUGGGCGUAAAGAGCGUGUAGGCGGCCAAACAGGUCCGUUGUGAAAACUGGAGGCUUAACCUCCAGACGUCGACGGAAACCGUAUGGCUAGAGUCCGGAAGAGGAGAGUGGAAUUCCUGGUGUAGCGGUGAAAUGCGCAGAUAUCAGGAAGAACACCAAUGGCGAAAGCAGCUCUCUGGGACGGUACUGACGCUGAGACGCGAAAGCGUGGGGAGCGAACAGG